rnacentral:lncRNA from 1 species
UGGCUGUCUAAGUAAGUCUGCGCUCUGCCACUUUAACAGAAUAGCACGUGCUGUAGAAGCUUAUUUGUUUCACCGUUUUAGGGACUGGGACAUCCAAGAGCAUGAUGCUUGCAUGUGCUGAAGGCCAUCUUCCUGUAUCACCGGGAGUGCAUCAGAUUGCAAGAGGCAUGUUCAGGUUGCUCUCAUGAAGCCAUCAAUCCUUCAGUGAAUACUACACCCCGUGACCUCAUCUAAACUGAGUAACCUCCCGAAGGCCCCACCCUCAUACCAGCAACAUGCAAAUAGAGUAAUAACAUCUAACAGAGAAUCGUCAGGAGGCACAAUCAAAUUAUGGCAGUGAGGUCCCGACAGAAAAGCCGUCGUGAAGAAAGGCCUGGCAUGAAUACAUUCUAGACUUUAGUAACGUGAGACAGUGUGCUGAUACUUCUGGGAAUGCACCACAAAUCAGAAAGACCAAAGCAAGGAAUCUGAGCUUCCAAUGUGUCAUGAUAGCACAGAAUGCCUACGUGUCUGCAGCAGCCGGAAAACAGAAGACUGACACUCGGCCUAUUAUCUCUCAGCAAGUUCUGG